UUCACCCGCUCCCUACGCUCCUCUCUACCCUACUCCUCUCUCUCCCGCUCCUUCCCUCUCUCUUUUCUUUGACAAAUCCUAUAAAUGAAUGGCUAGUUAUUCUCUGAAGAAAAAAAAGUUUUCAGGGGUCAAAAAAAAAAUCCCUUGAAAAAUUAAAGUUUGGGGAACAGAUCUAAAAACCCCUGUUUAUUCUCUGAAAAAACAGGUUUUCCAGUGGCUAAAAUCCUUUUUUUUUUUUUUUUUUUUUUAAAAAGGGAGUUUGGAGAAACACAAAAAAAAUCUCUCAACUCUUGUCUAUCUACUUUAGUUAUUUAUAGGUUUUAAUUCUCAUUUUAUUAGGGGAGUAGUAGUGGAUCUAAGACCUCAAAGCCUCGUUCACUGCUCCCGUGGAAGGUAAUAAUCCGAAACCAUUAUUUUGCUUCUUCUCUUGUUAAUAACGUGUGUUUGUCUAGAAAAUCAUGUCAUAGAUCCGUUUUUUUUUUUUUUUGAAUGACAAGAUACUAUUAAAAUAAAGUCUGAGUAAGUUUGAAAUCCUUUAGGCUAUUUCAAUAUUAGUAAAAGAGAUUUUAAGGCUUGAAAUAUUUACACAUUAAUCUGAUGACUCUUGAAUGUGUUCCAUGUAUCAUGAUUUGAUGAAUGUUUCUUUUUAACUUGCGUGGGUGAGCAUUUUUUUUUUUUUUUAAAAAGAAUUUUUCUCUUUAUCAUGAUGAUUCUAGUAUUUACUAUACUUUGCUGUUGAAGGACACGUUUGUUCAUUGAUGAUUAUAUGAUGUCUAAGUUUGCUUCCUUUUAAGCUCAUAGUUAUAUUAGCACGUGUAGUUAGAAUGAAUUAAAGGGUCUACCUCGCAUUUGUUCUGGACGAUAGAUAUGCGCAUGUUAAAUAUUCAUGGUACUUUGAAAUAAUUGUUACUUGACAAUCUUGCUUACUAACAGAAUUAUUUAUUUUUAUCUAAUCUUUUUUCUUUCUCCUCUUUCAUUUGCAUGAACAUUUUGGAGCAAACAUGGAGUCUUAAUGCAAGACUCUUCCCGAGCAUGGACACGGAGUCACUCUUCCCGAACUAUCAUUUUCUCUUGUCUUAGCUAUGUAAAAGCCAAAAUAGUGGAAAUAGGUCCCCACCUCCUAUUAUUUUGUGAUGCUUAGGAAGAAUUAGUAUGGGUUAUAUGCUUUAAUAUUAUGUCACUCUUUACUCCUCAACGCCUAGGAUUCACGUCGAAUUAAUAGAGUAGUCUAAAUCGGUAAUGGAAUCCUAUAAACAUGCUUAACCAAGCUUUAAUCCACCAAAAAUUUCUUAUUUCAUAAGUCAAAAUUUAAAUUUAAAUCAAACCACAUUUUUACAAGUUUGACCAGAAAUCAUUUUAUUGCUUUUUUCUCAAUUUUGUUAAGUCAAGUCACCAUAUUUUUUCCCAUACGUGGCUAAAUAUUUUUAGCAGUUCUAACCUUCUAUAAAUUUGCUACAUUUUAUUUUCUUGGAUGGCACAAUUGGUAUUCUUAUGCUUAUAUAAUUUAAACUAAUAGAUGUCCUACUUUCCACUUUAAUGUUUUACUCAUGCAUUCAUAUUUUGUAAGGUUUCAAUAAAUAUACAUUAGUAUAGUAUUUUCAAAAUAUUCAUUUUUAGCCAUAUUUGAAUUAACCUAAGUUUGGACGGUAAACCAUAAUUAAUGGAUUCUAAAGGAUGCUUAAUCCCUUCCCUUUAGGAUAAUCUAGAACCCUUACCUAGAAUCACGCUAAUUGAGUAGACCAUUAACAGAGGUUUAGUUUAACUUUACCUUAGUUAAUAUUUAGGUGUCCUAAUUCACCAAUAAACUAAUUAGGUGGCGACUCCUUAAAUUAAACAAAAUAGGAAUCACCAAUAUGUUGUACUCCGAUUUAAUCCGUUUAAAAUGGGGUAUAACAGACAUGAGCAUGAAUUUUUUUUGUAUUUCUGUCCCAUCUUUUAACGAUUUCAUACCUGCCUUUUGCUUCUAGAACUUCUUUUCAAUAGCAUAAAAUCUUAUCAAUUCAGCCUGCACUUUCUGCAAUCUUUGUCUAUUCAAGUUGUUGGGAUGUUUUUCAAACUCCUGUUCAUGGAUUUGUACCACCUCCUCCAAAGUAGCAAUUUGUCUAAAUAUAUCUCCAUAAGUUUCCUUUCUCCAUAUGGAAAUUGCUUUACUCACCUUUUUUAACUUGUUAUGAAAGUUAAAAAAAAAAUAGAUCAGAACUGAAAUUUGAAGCCCAGUUAUUUUUGACCACUUCCUGGAAAGUCUCAUGCUCCACCCAGAAGUUCAGGAAACUGAAAGACUUCUUGAUUGGUCUACUAUCCUGCUUGGGACUUAUCAAUAAAGGAGAAUGAUUUGACCCUUGCUUGAUCAAAUGUUCUACUUCCAGAUUAGGGUAAGUGUUCAGCACAGCUUAAUUCCCUAAGCACCUGUCCAAUCUUUUGAAAAUACAGGCCUCAUCUGAUCUCCCAUUCCACCAAGUGAACAUACUCCCUGUGAAACCAAGAUCCACCAGUUGACUUACAUCAAUGCAUUGUCUGAAGUCUUCAGUCUCUGCAAAUUGAACAAGAAGCCCUCUAUAUUUCUCAUCAGCCUCUGUAAUCACAUUAAAAUCUCCACCUACCAGCCAUGGGAGAUGUAUAUGUGUAGCAAUAUCAUACAGGUCCUCCCAUAAUGCAAUUCUAGUACCUCUAUCUGUACUAGUAUAAACUACAGUUAUAAUAACUUCAUGUUCCCCAUCAAAAGAAGUGAGCUUGAAGGACAACAAUUGAUCAGUGUCCUUCAAAAUUUCCACUUGAAAUUCUUCUUCCACAAAAAUCCAUAUCUUCCCAUUUACAUUGUAAGCAGUAGUCUCCAUAGUAAGCCACAUUUUAUAUAUAUCAAUGUGUCUAAAAUGUUGAAAUGGCUCCAUAAGGGCUAUAACAUUGAAUUAUUUUUGUCUAUUAGUAACACCACUCUUUCAAAGGCCUGUUGAGUAGUUGCAGAUCGGAUAUUCCAAAUGAGAAAGCAAUUCAUUGAGAAGUGGAUUUGACAAGUGCUUUCCUUGUUUGUACACCUCCUGUUAUUUUAGGAGGUAAACUUUUGUCUCUUUGUCUGUGAUGCUGGUCUCCUUCCAUGCCUUUGUAGUAUUCUUUGGAGAUCUGUCUGCAUUACUAGUAUCUUCAAGCAUUUUUCUUUCUUCUUCCUCAUCAUCUCCAAUGUCAAUCUCAUGUUCUUCUUCAUUUUCAUUAAUUAUAUGUUGAUCUUGUUGCUGCAAUUUACUGCCUUCCUCUACUUCUGUAAUGCCUUUUGUUUCCCCUGUUAUGUUCAUCAUUAUUUCUUCCUUGUUGUUCAAAAUAUGAAUUUGAUUGUCUUUGCUCAUGGUUGUAUCGGUUUGCCCAUCUUGAGUAUCUGCUAUAGCUAAUAUCCCUGUGGUAACUGAUUCUGUAGGUAAUCUAGGUUGUAAUAAUUAAAGAUCUGUAUUGUGAUUAUCAUCAGGCGGUUUUUUCAGAGUGUUUUUUUUCCCCUGGACAGGAUUUUUCCUGACCUCCACAAGAAAUGGCUUCUGGCCUAUGUCGAGUGUUUUCUUGAUUAUGCCUUUUCAGAGACCAUUCCCCUUAUUGUUAUUUGUUGCCUUUUUCAGUAGACAACUUCUUAUUUUGUUUUGCUUCAUUACCUUGUGGUUUUGUCAUUAAAUUUUUCGGUUGGUCUUUGAUUGCACAUGCUUGUGUUUCAAUUGUUUCUGUCUUGUGUUGGUUAUCGUUGUUGUUGUUAUCUUUGUUGUGAAUCUCUGUCCUCUUCCCUUUCUCCCAUUCUUUGUUGCUUUCUAUAUCCUUGCUGGUAGCACUUUUCUUGCCAAAAGAUGCCUCAACCCAAGGCUUGGAAGUUUCUUUUUGAUCUUUAGUGUUAGUUGUAUGCUGCUUCUCUAAUUUCUCUUGCAUCUCCUGUGUUAGAUCUACCAAAGUAUCAAACUUGUUUGUUGUUACUGUAUUCUUGGAAGUAUGUUAUCCUUCUGAUUGUGUUGCCUCCUUUACAUUUUUCUUAUUUUUCUUAUUUUGCACAACAUUCCAAUUCUAAUAUACCAGUUUUCCAUUUUUAUACACCCCAUGUUGCUGUAAGUCAUCAACUGGUUGUUUUCCAAUUGAUUUAUUGAUUUCCUCCUUGGGUUUCCUUUUUGUAAUAUCCUGUCGUCCUCCUUUUUGCUCUUCUCUUUUUGGCCUGUGUUCCGGAUACAAAAUCCAGCAGCCAUGUAUGUCAUGGCCUUGCAAUUUGCAGUGUGUACAAUAUUUAGGCAAAUAAUCAUAUUGAAUUUUUUGCCAUUUUGAUCUCAAUUCUCCUGUCUCCUCAUCCAAGCAAUUGAUUUGAAUUCUUUUUGGUUACUUUUUCAACAAAUCGACUUCCACUUUAAUCCUAGCACAACUAGGUCUCGUUUGAUUGUUUGUGGCCUUGUCAAUCAUUAGUGGUGUACCAACUGCAGUUGCCAAAGAAAACAUUGAUUCUUUGUCAAAAAUAUUUGUUGGUAGUCCAGGAAAAGAUAUCCAGGCAAUGGCUAUGGUUGUCUCUUUCUCCGGAUUGAACCAUGGAUCCCAUUUUAGAAAUCUGAGGGGAAAAUAUCUAUUUCUGACCCUUAAUUCCCAAGCUUUUGACAUUAAUGUUGCAUAAUCCUCUAACGGUGACAAUCAAAUCAAAAUGUGGCGUUCCUCCAAAAAUCCAAUAUUGCACUUUCCUUUGAUUUCCAGUGGGAUUGGCAAUAUUUUCCUCAAUUCCGCCAGAUCUGGCCUUCCAUAGGAAAAUUUUGCUACAACAGCAAAUUGUAAAUUUUGUCGCCUUAUUAACUCUUCGAACUCGUUCUUCAUCCAUGUCAUAGUUGGUUCACCAUGCAACAAAGUAAUAAUUUUUUGUUCAAAAGGUUCAGGGGUUUGUUGUUCUAAAGCAUUAUGUAACGCAAUAGCAUAGUUCAUAGGUUUAGGGUUGGUGUUAUUUUGUGAUUGGAGUAUUUGUAGUAGGGGUCCCGGGGGUGGCCGCCGGCCGGCGCCGCCAUUCCUGGUAGAAUAGUUCAACAAUGAUCUAGGGUAGUGUAGGUUUUGCGUUAAAGUGUAAUUAUUUAUCAGCAAGUGGGAACUAUCAAAACGCGAGGCAAUUGUUGGAUUUUUGGAAGCAUGUAAAUGCAGCAUUAUCUUCUCUUUUUUUUUUUUUUUUUUUUGUGAAUUACCAUUUUUUUAAAAAUUUAAAAUAAGAAAUUUAUGGUGAUGACUUGUCAUCCUAAUAUUGUUUUAUCUUUUUGUCUUUUCUUUUGAUUUUUGUUGUCUUUUUUAAUUUAUUUUAUUUAUUAAAUAUGAAUUUUCUGGUGAUGACACUUGUAAUCACAUCAUGCGUUUGCUUUUCCUAUUCUAUAUAGAUAGAUAGAUUAAGAGCGGUUUUGUAGUCUUAAAAGAUAUAUAUUGUGUGUCAAAAUAUUUUUUUUAAUUUGUGAUUUUAAAUAUGUUAUGUAGGGUAUUGAAUUAAAGAGUUGUCAAAUUAGUUUUUUUAUUUUUUUUUUAAUUUUUUAUAAAGCAGCCUAAAAAUGAAAGUAAGAUAAAUAAAUUGAAACAAAUGGAGAUAGAAAAUAUUAAUUUUGUGUAAAUUUAAUUGUAUUAAUUUAUUUAUUUAUUAAUUCAAAUUAUUUUGACUUAUUUAGAUAAUUUAUUUAAGGCGGAAUAGUUUUGGGAGACCCUCUACUUGUCCAUUUUUGUCAUCUUAGUUUGCCAAUUAAACCCGUCUACUUUUUAAAACUGAGUAUUGUAAACACCUCUGACCGUUAACCGAUCCUAUUUGGCAACUUGAUGGUUGAAUUGGAACAAUACAUGAAUUUCAUGCAUAUAAAGAGCGUGAACAUAAAAAUUUAAAUAAAAAAAUGAUAAAAAUGAAAAAAAAAAAUAGAAAGACAAAAAAAAAAAUAUAUGAAAACUCUUUCUUCUUCCCCCACGGGCCCCACUCCACCCUUUAUUGUUCUUCCUCAUCCCCUCCCUUAUUUCUUUUUCCCUUUCUCUCCCCUCCCCAUUUUCACCACCUUCAUAGCUUCAAUCAAUAUUUGAGAAAAAUAAUUUUCAUCUCCCUUUGUCUUCCUCGUACUUUCUUUAUACACCAACCCAAAAUACAAAGAAACAAAUCAACAAUUUUCAGGUGAGUUUUUCGUUCUUUACUUUCUUCUGCAUUUCAUUGUUAUUUAAGCUUCGUAAAUUUCUAGGUUUCGUCUAUAUUUAGCUUGUUUCUCUAUUUUUUAAUAGAUUGAGUAAUUUUCAAAGUUCUUGAAGAUCUUUUCCUUGAAUCCAAGAACAAGGAAAAAUGUUGAGCUUAAAAUUGCAUUCGGCUCUGGCAAAUUGUUGAGCUUUUACGUAAUGAAAUAGGUUGAUGGUGACAUGAUUUUGGUGGUGGAUGGAAGAGGGAGAUGGGAGGGUAGAGAGAGAAGAGAAAGGUUUGGGGGGUGGAUCUGAUGUGUCCUUCAUGUCAAGGCGAGUGAGCUACACACAGUGUCAGAGGGGUUGAAAAUACUUGUUUUGAUAGAGUUGAGGGGUUUAGUUGACAAACCCGUAAAUACGAACACCUGCAUGACAAAAAUGGACAAGUAUAGGGGCCUCCCAAGCUAUUCCACUUUUAUUUAAAGUUGAGCUGAUGAAGGUUGCGUAUGACAUGAAUAAUGCAUCGAAUGAAAUUCUUCUCUUCCAAAAAGUAUUUGAAAAUGAGAAAAGAACAAAAUUUACAAGCGGGAUGAGGCAAAAGCAAUGGCUACAACGACAAAGAGGAUUAUUAGCUACAGACGCUUAUUUCGGUUGGAUAUUUACGCUUAACGGUUUGACUUAUCGAUUUUUAAAUGUAUAUCAAUUUGUUAACCUAACCAAUAAAAUAUCAGUUCGUUCAGUUUGAAUUUAACAGUUACGAUCGGUUAACCAAUAAAGUCAAAUUAAAAAAAAAAGCAAAAUCCAAAAGAUUCGUCGCUAAAUCUGGUAAAGUGAAGCAUGAAAUUCAAGAACUUUCUCAUCACUUUCUAAUAUAACUGAAGUAUGAUAUUCAAACACUUUCUAAUCACUUAUCACUAGCAAAACCAAAACACAUAAACAAAAGAAAACUGAAGCAGAAAAGUCAAAACAAAUGAAAAAAGAAAGAAAAAAUGCAUACCCCUCUAUUUUGGGGAAAAAAGGGCUAAAAACAUUCUCCAUUACAAAUUUGGAUAAAAAAUAUCCCUCCCGUCAUUAAAGUUUUCUAAUAUAAUUCCGUUUUAACGGAAAUUCUCAAAAUAACCCGAUUUCAUUUUUAUACCCGCUCCUGUGCCUAGUGGCUCCAAAUGUAGGGCUCGGGAAGAAGUUGCUCGCAUAUGAGUUUUUUAUGUAGUUGGGUCGGGUUUAAAAUGAAAUCCGGUUAGUUUGGGAAAUUUGGGGAUUUCUGUUAAGAUAGGGGUAUUUUUGAAAGCUUUAAUGACAGGAGGGGUAUUUAUGACCCAAAUUUAUAACAGAGAAUACAUUUAGCCCUUUUCUCAAAGUAGAAGGACAUUUUUUAUGUUUUUACCUAGAAACAUUUGAAUUUCAAGCGCGACUAUGAGCCCGUUUGGAUGGGCUUAAAAAAAGUGACUUUUAUGUAUGAAGUGCUUUUAGAACUUUUAAGUGCUGAAAGUUAUUUUUAUAAAUAAGCAGUUGAGUGUUUGGAUAAAAGUACUUAUGCUGAAAAUAAGUUGUUGAUGUGUUUGGUAAAUAAGUGCUGUUAAGCACUUAUUUUAUGUCAAAA